rnacentral:lncRNA from 1 species
AUGGUUUUGAGCAGAGGAAGGAAGUAGCUUGAUUAAACUUGUAAAGGAUCAUUCUCGCUGCUCUGUGAAUACCAGACUUUAAAGCCAAGAGCAGAAGCAGGAUGGCAUUUUGGCCUGCUAUUUGGGAAUUUGGUCCAGUUGAGAAAUGAUGGUGUCUUGGACUACAGUUGCUGUGGAGAUGAAACACACUGUACACAUCCUGGAUCCCUAAGAAUUGGAAGAUUUAUCCUUAACUGAGAGCUGUUACUUCUUCUCAAUUCAAUUUCUGAGUGCAGAGGCAUAAUGACAAGGAAGAACACACAGAGCUGGAUCCACAGCACAGUGGUUGUCACCUGCAGACCAUGACUGAUUCAUAGAUUGUAAAAAUCUAUGAAAUGGGUCUUAA